AUUAGAUAUUAAAACCAUCCCCUCGGGGCUGUGAUGAAUCAUAAUAACUGAUCGAAUCGAGGUUCGCCUUGAUAAAUCAUUCAAGUUUCUGCCCUAUCAGCUGUAGAUGGUAGUGUAUUGGACUACCAUGGCUAUUACGGGUAACGGAGAAUUAGGGUUCGAUUCCGGAGAGGGAGCCUGAGAAACGGCUACCACAUCUACGGAUGGCAGCAGGCGCGAAAAUUGCCCAAUCCCGAUUCGGGGAGGCAGUGACAAGAAAUACAACCCAGAACAUUGUUUCCGGGAUUGCAAUGAGAACAAUUUAAAACCUAUCGAGUACCAACUGGAGGGCAAGUUCUGGUGCCAGCAGCCGCGGUAAUUCCAGCUCCAGUAGCGUAUAUUAAAAGUUGCUGCAGUUAAAAAGCUCGUAGUUGAAUUUCUGUUUGUAAGAGUCGAAGCUUUACAGCUAAGAUUUCUUCGAACAUCUGUUGCUAAGCAUACGUUCGGCCUUCACUGGUU
rnacentral:rRNA from 1 species